rnacentral:lncRNA from 1 species
AUAAGACUCAAACCAGGAAGUGGAACAUGUCACUUCCUCUCACACCCCAUUGGUGAGAACUCAGUCAUGUGACUCCAUCUGACUGCAAAGGAGGCUGGGAAAUGUCAACCUAGGCAGCCAUGUUCCUGGCCACCAUUCUAUUACUUUGAAAGAAGAAAAUGGACUUAGGACGAAGGAUGUGGCUCAGACAUCUAGGAGAUCUGAAGUGGUGAGAACAAGAGUGGAUCUAGGAGUGAAUACCAUUGGGCGAUGUGUUAAUUUCCAAGGACUGCUGUAACUAAGUAGCACAAACUGGGUGCUUAAAACAACAAAAUAUACCACCGCACACUUCUGGAGGCUAGAAGUCUGACAUCAAGGUACCAUCCAAGCCCUAGGGAAAUAAGAUGCAGCACCAAGGUACCAAGGAAAAGGGUAGAAGCACUCCGAGUUGACCUGAGAUGAACUUUUCACCACUCUUGAAGAAUGAGGACUUGAACUAGUGAUCACUUUCAGUUCUAGAAAAAUAAGGUGGCCGGGUGAGGUGGCUCAUGCCUGUACUCCCAGUGCUUUGGGAGGCCGAGGUGGGCGGAUCACGAGAUCAGGAGUUUGAGACUAGCCCGGCCAACAUGGUGAAACCUCGUCUCUACUAAAAAUACAAAAAAUUAGCUGGGCAAGGUGGUGGGCACCUGUAAUCCCAGCUGCUCAGGAGGCUGAGGCAGGAGAAUUGCUUGAACCCGGGAGGCAGAGGUUGCAGUGAGCCGAGAUCACGCCAUUGCACUCCAGCCUGGGCGACAGUGCGAGGCUCUCAAAACAAACAAACAAAAAAAAAUGCACAAAAAACAAAAAUAAGAUUACAUCUCUUAAGUCUCUAAAUUGGGAACUGAAAUUCACACCUGCAACAUCUUUAAUGAUCCAAUGGAAAGAAGUCCAAACUCCUUGACCAGGGUUUGACAAAUUAUGGCCCACGGGCCAAAUUUGGUUGGCUGCCUGUUUUUGUUAUUAAAGAGUUUUUGGAAUACUGCCAUGCCCAUUUGCGUAUGUAUUGCCUCUGGCUAUUUUUGUACUGCAGCAUCAGGGUUGAGUUAUUGUGACAGAGACACUAGAGCCUGCAAAACCAAAAAGAUUUAUUAUCUGAUCCACUUUAGAAGAAAUUUGCCAACCUUUGUCCUAGAUCAAGUUUUCAAGACCGUCCACAAUUUAAGACCAUUUUUUUUUUUUUUGAGACGAAGUGUUGCUCUUGUCGCCCAGGCUGAAGUACAAUGGCACGAUCUCGGCUCACUGCAACCUCCGCCUCCUGGGUUCAAGCAAUUCUCCUGCCUCAGCCUCCUGCAUAGCUGGGAUUGCAGGUACACACCACCAUAUCCGACUAAUUUUUAUAUUUUUAGUAGAAACGGGGUUUCACCAUGUUGGCCAGGCUGGUCUCGAACUCCUGACCUCGUAAUCCACCUGCCUCAGCCUCCCAAAGUGCCGGGCAUGAGCCACCACGCCCGGCCUAAGACCAGUUUUUAAAACAUAUACUCUGCCACUCUACCACAUAAACUUUCCAAGGUACUAAAACCAGUAUAUGCAAAGUUCUCUUAAGUUAUCAGCUCUAAAUUUUUUCCCCCAGCCCAAUUAGGAGGGAAUUAAGGCUUCACCCCCAUUCCCACUUUCCAGCAGAAAAACAAGUAGGUGAUAAAAAUGGAAUGUCAUCCUAAAAGCUUUCUAAAAGUUGGGGAAUUGUGGGUACAUCUGCUUAAGCAAUAAGAGUACAGAUGAUUUCUAUUUUUGCUCAAUGCAUACAUGACUUAAAGUCUAUUUAUUGAACAAUUAUAGGCCAAAAAUACUGCUGAUGCAAAUGAGUAUUAUUAAACACUGUAGAAUUUGCCAAACAACCCACAACAAAUUAAAUUGCUAAUAACAAGCUAAACAGUGAUUUAUCAUUAGCUAAGCAAAAAGAACAGCGGUUGAAAACCGUGGCCAAUUCAAGAUAACACAAAGACAAAAUGUUCCUCCAGGAAAUUAUGGAAAUUUAUACUAUCAGUGUACACUUGUGUGCAAUGCUGGGAGGUAUUGUGUGUCUGCCAGGCUUCUAGGUGGAAUACCAAAAUAGAGUGCUCAAUAAAUUACAGUAACUUUCUAUUCUGAAUGUACGAACACUAUGUUUUAGUAAGCCUUAAUAACUUGCUUAGUGUAGGUGGACUGGGUAUCAGCUGCAUUUGCGGGUGCAGCAUCCAUGCCUCUUUCUUCUGAUUUUCCCUGGGGGAGCCAUUAUCCCAUUUGCAUCCAUGUGCUUGGAAAGGGGCCAGCUUUAGAAUGGGGCAUGUAGGGCCAGGCGUGGUGGCUCACGCCUGUAAUCCCAGCACUUUGGGAGGCUGAGGUGGGCAGAGCACCUGAGGUCGGGAGUUCGAGACCAACCUGGGCAAUGUGGUGAAACCCUGUCUCUGCUAAAAAUACAAAAAUUAGCUGGGCGUGGGCUGGGUGUGGUGGCUCAAGCCUGUAAUCCUAGCACUUCAGGCUGAGGCAGGCGGAUCAUGAUGUCAAUAGAUCGAGACCAUCCUGGCCAACAUGGUGAAACCCUGUCUCUACUAAAAAUACAAAAAUUAGCUAGGUGUGGUGGUGGGUGCCUGUAGUCCAAGCUACUUAGAAGGCUGAGGUGGGAGAAUCGCUUGAACCGGGGAGGUGAAGGUUGCACCACUGUACUUCAACCUGGGCGACAGAGUGAGACUCUGUCUCAAAAAAAAAAAACCAAAAAACAAAAAACUAGCGGGGCAUGGUGGCAUGUACCUGUAAUCCCAGCUACUCAGGAGGCUGAGGCAGGAGAAUCUCUGGAACCCAGGAGGUGGAGGUUGCAGUGAGCCGAGAUCACGUCAUUGUACACCAGCCUGGGCGACAGAGGAAGACUUCGUCUCAAAAAAAAAAAAAAAAAGAAAGAAAAUGGGGCACAUGACCCAGAGUGGCCAAUCUCAUCCCUCUGCUUGUAGUUCAGUCAUAACCACAUAUCUCAAGAUGAGCCAAUGAGACAUCAUCCCGGGACUUCUGUUAGAAUUGCUAACCCUGGAGAACGGAACUGACAGUUGAUGAAGCCGACACAAAGGAGACCAGGGACUGGGCGGAGUGUUUUAUGCCUGUAAUCCCAGCACUUUGGGAAGCGGUGGCAGGAUCUCCUGAGGCCAGGAGUUCGAGACCAGCCUGGGCAACAUAGUGAGA